rnacentral:rRNA from 1 species
GAUGAACGCUGGCGGCGUGCCUAAUACAUGCAAGUCGAGCGAACAGACGAGGAGCUUGCUCCUCUGACGUUAGCGGCGGACGGGUGAGUAACACGUGGAUAACCUACCUAUAAGACUGGGAUAACUUCGGGAAACCGGAGCUAAUACCGGAUAAUAUAUUGAACCGCAUGGUUCAAUAGUGAAAGACGGUUUUGCUGUCACUUAUAGAUGGAUCCGCGCCGCAUUAGCUAGUUGGUAAGGUAACGGCUUACCAAGGCAACGAUGCGUAGCCGACCUGAGAGGGUGAUCGGCCACACUGGAACUGAGACACGGUCCAGACUCCUGCGGGAGGCAGCAGUAGGGAAUCUUCCGCAAUGGGCGAAAGCCUGACGGAGCAACGCCGCGUGAGUGAUGAAGGUCUUCGGAUCGUAAAACUCUGUUAUUAGGGAAGAACAAAUGUGUAAGUAACUAUGCACGUCUUGACGGUACCUAGUCAGAAAGCCACGGCUAACUACGUG